rnacentral:rRNA from 1 species
CACGUGAGAAACCUACCGCAGUCAUUCCGGAUAAUUGGUCGAAAGGCCUUGUAAUACGGGGAGGUUCCAACAUACGGCAUCUAUUAAUGGGAACGAACGAGCAAUCGGUGCUGUGAUGGUCUCGCGGCUUAUCAGGUAGUUGGUGGGGUAACGGCCUACCAAGCCUACGACGAGUAGCUGGUCUGAGAGGAUGGUCAGCCACAUUGGAACUGAGACACUGUCCAGACUCCUACGGAGGCUGCAGUCGAGAAUCUUGGGCAAAUGCACGAAAGUGUGACCCAGCGACGCCGCGUGAAGGAU